GAUGAACGCUAGCGGCAGGCUUAAUACAUGCAAGUCGAGGGACAGCACAGGUAGCAAUACUGGGUGGUAACCGGCAAACGGGUGCGGAACACGUACACAACCUUCCUUUAAGUGGGGGAUAGCCCAGAGAAAUUUGGAUUAAUACCCCGUAAUAUAGUUGAAUGGCAUCAUUUGAUUAUUAUAGCUACGGCGCUUAAUGAUGGGUGUGCGGCUGAUUGGAUAGUUGGCGGGGUAACGGCCCACCAAGUCUACGAUCAGUAGCUGAUGUGAGAGCAAGAUCAGCCAGACGGGCACUGAGACACGGGCCCGGCUCCUACGGGAGGCAGCAGUAAGGAAUAUUGGUCAAUGGACGCAAGUCUGAACCAGCCAUGCCGCGUGAAGGAUUAAGGUCCUCUGGAUUGUAAACUUCUUUUAUUUGGGACGAAAAAGGGCCUUUCUAGGUCAACUGACGGUACCAGAUGAAUAAGCACCGGCUAACUCCGUGCCAGCAGCCGCCGUAACAC
rnacentral:rRNA from 1 species